UCCCAACCAGUACGCACGCUGCGGUAAAACCACAGAUAUGUCACCAUGAAUUCAGAACUAUCGAACAUGACAACAUCUCGAGAAAUUGAAAAAGAGCUAUAAAGAAAGGAUGAAGGGGAAGCCUCAGUCCAGUCCGAAAGUAUUCCUCAUAGAGGCUCAUCUGACCUGGAGAAGGUUGGCAAACUCGAUCGUUCGGCCUCGAUAUUUUUAGUUGGAACUCCAGAGGAAUUUGAAACUGUUUAUGGAGCAGUACUACAUCCA
rnacentral:lncRNA from 1 species